AGCUUCUGGGGAAGAAUCCAAAGAUGAUCUGUGGCUUGGAGGGGCGGGAGACGGGCGAGGUGGCCGCAGCGGGGGCGGGCGGCGGGACCGGGACGUGCAGGGGGAGGUCCGGGCAGCUGCGGGGAGCCUGGGGCGACGGCUGUCCGGUACGGGGUCCCUCCGGUUCCGCGGCGGCGGAGCCUCUAGGCCUCACGGCCGGACCCGAACCUCAGCGUUCCGGUGGCGGCGGCGGCCUCACGAUCCUCCCCCGCGGGCCCGUCCCAUCAAAUCGGCACCGACCCCGUUGCGGCUCCGCCGGUGGCUCCUCGCUCACAUUCCUGGCGGGCGGCGCCUCAGCUCGUUGCCCCGGACCCGGCGGCGGCGGCGACGACGUGGGGAGGGGGGGAAGGGAGGGAGGAAGACUGGAUCUGCAGCGGCAGCAAGAGAAGGGGACAGAAUAAGGAGGAGGAGCCGCAGGAGCUGGAGCCGCCGCUGCCAGAGCCACCUUUCGCUACCCGCGGUGGGUCCCAGUCAAUGCCCCUUUCUCUCUCCUAUUGUCAAUAUCACCGGGCGGCUGAGUCCAUGGCACACGCGCAACCGAACCUUCUGGCCAGCAGCGCCCGCCUCCGGCGCCCGCCCACUGGAGACUUCAAACGGGAAGCGAGGCCUCAUUGGCCAGUAUCCGCCUUCACUCCCCUGACAGCAUGUUCGGCUGAGACCUGAUCAGGGAUUGGCGGCAGGAGGGCGGAGAAACGGGAGGGUGGGAAGAGAGAAGGUCGAGGAUUGGGCCGAAGCUUGAGGAACCCGGAUGCAGCCGCGAUCUCGGGCGGUGCAGCCGCCGCUUCCGCCCGGCAGUGGGGCAAGCUGAAGUGAGAAGCCGCUGGGCCUGAGAGGAGCUCUUUAAUUCCGGGAGGUGUGCGACUAGCGGAUCAGCGGGCUGGCUUUCCGUGCUGUGCGGAGCCUUUGGGCGGCGGUCGUCUUGGACCGGAGGAUUCCAAGGGCUCGGGUCGUCUAAGGGUCGGGGAGCCCCGGAGACUUGAUCCCGCCCUGCAGCUAGUGUGGCCCCUCAGGGUUUGGGGAGUCCCACUCUGGACGGGACCCUGUGAUGCGUAGGCAGGAAUAAGAUCCCCCGCCCGUGCCGGUGUGCCACUGCUUGUGUAAAUGGGCCCCUUGAAACCCCCAGCAGUCGCUCUCCGCUGAACCUUCUUCGAAUUUUCUCUCACCUCAUCUCCUUUUCCUUAAACGUCUGUUUUGAAUAUCAGACCCCUGUAGCGUUGAAGCCAGCGCUCGUUUAAUUAAUGCAGGUGGGAACGCUGUCGCCACAGUUUGCAGUCUAUUCAUUCAGAAUAACCCGCCAGUCAGCCGACUGCUCAGAGCUCGGAAAGACCCAGCUCCAAACUAGGAGUUUCGAGAUUUUAAUUGGCAAGUUGGACCCGAAAGAGUUAAUGGAGAAGACUACUUAAAUCUAUCUAGAACAAGUGAUGAGAUAUUUGGAGAUGUGUUUGCAUGCUUGGUGAAUGCAGACGGCCAAAUGGUACAUUUCCAGAUAAUAUUCUUGGAUUAAUGUAUUUGAAUGCACCCUACGUACAUUUUUUGAGAGGAAAAAAGGAAGAAAGAAAUUAUUAAUGCUAACUACAAACGUCAGAGUACCAGUUGUUCAAAACUUAGAAAUUGGGGGGGGGGACAAAAAAAUUAACAUUCUUAUUUUCUCAACUCAGAGAUAACCACUUACAGUAUUUGCAUACUUCCUUUUAGUAUUUUUUCUCUUUAUGUUAAUAAUGUGUGUCGAUCUGUAGCCUAGUUUUUUCCCUCAGCAUUAUAUCAUCUUUUCGAUACGGUUAGGGAAUAGAGCUAUAUAUAAAUAAAACUAUAUGUACCAUAUGUACAAGUGACAACGAAAAA